rnacentral:rRNA from 1 species
GCCCUUUUCCGGUUGAUCCUGCCGGAGGCCAUUGCUAUGGGGGUCCGAUUUAGCCAUGCUAGUCGCACGGGUUGGACCCGUGGCGAAUAGCUCCGUAACACGUGGCCAAACUACCCUGCGGAGGGGGAUAACCUCGGGAAACUGAGGCUAAUCCCCCAUACGGCUCCUCUGCUGGAGUGCGGGGAGCCGGAAACGCUCCGGCGCCGCAGGACGUGGCUGCGGCCGAUUAGGUAGACGGUGGGGUAACGGCCCACCGUGCCGAUAAUCGGUACGGGUUGUGAGAGCAAGAGCCCGGAGACGGACUCUGAGACAAGAGUCCGGGCCCUACGGGGCGCAGCAGGCGCGAAACCUUUACACUGCACGAGAGUGCGAUAAGGGGACCCCCAGUGCGAGGGCAUAUCGUCCUCGCUUUUCUGGACUGUAGGGAGGUUCAGGAACAAGGGCUGGGCAAGACCGGUGCCAGCCGCCGCGGUAAUACCGGCAGCCCGAGUGAUGGCCGAUCUUAUUGGGCCUAAAGCGUCCGUAGCCGGCCGGGCAAGUCCGUCGGGAAACCCGCACGCUCAACGUGCGGAGGUCCGGCGGAACCUGCUCGGCUUGGGACCGGGAGGCCCGAGGGGUACGUCCGGGGUAGGAGUGAAAUCCCGUAAUCCCGGACGGACCGCCGAUGGCGAAAGCACCCCGGGAGAACGGAUCCGACGGUGAGGGACGAAAGCUAGGGUCUCGAACCGGAUUA